rnacentral:tRNA from 35 species
GGCCCGUUGGUCAAGUGGUUAAGACACGGCCCUUUCACGGCUGUAACAUGGGUUCGAAUCCCGUACGGGUCACCA